rnacentral:rRNA from 1 species
GACGAACGCUGGCGGCGUGCCUAAUACAUGCAAGUCGAGCGGACGGAUGGGAGCUUGCUCCCAGACCGUCAGCGGCGGACGGGUGAGUAACACGUGGGCAACCUGCCUGUAAGACUGGGAUAACUCCGGGAAACCGGGGCUAAUACCGGAUAACUCUUUCCCUCACAUGAGGGAAAGCUGAAAGAUGGCAUCUCGCUAUCACUUACAGAUGGGCCCGCGGCGCAUUAGCUAGUUGGUGAGGUAACGGCUCACCAAGGCGACGAGGCGUAGCCGACCUGAGAGGGUGAUCGGCCACACUGGGACUGAGACACGGCCCAGACUCCUACGGGAGGCAGCAGUAGGGAAUCUUCCGCAAUGGACGAAAGUCUGACGGAGCAACGCCGCGUGAGUGAUGAAGGUUUUCGGAUCGUAAAACUCUGUUGUCAGGGAAGAACAAGUACCGGAGUAACUGCCGGUACCUUGACGGUACCUGACCAGAAAGCCACGGCUAACUACGUG